rnacentral:rRNA from 1 species
ACGGGGAGCAGCAGGCGCGAAACCUUUACNCUGCACGCCAGUGCGGUAAGGGGACCCCGAGUGCGAGGGCAUACAGUCCUCGCUUUUCGUGACCGUAAGAAGGUCUCAGAAUAAGUGCUGGGCAAGACCGGUGCCAGCCGCCGCGGUAAUACCGGCAGCACGAGUGAUAGCCACUAUUAUUGGGCCUAAAGCGUCCGUAGCUGGCCGAACAGGUCCAUCGGGAAAUCCACCCGCUCAACGGGUGGGCGUCCGGUGGAAACCAGUCGGCUUGGGGCCGGAAGACCCGAGGGGUACGUCCGGGGUAGGAGUGAAAUCCUGUAAUCCUGGACGGACCACCGGUGGCGAAAGCGCCACUGGAGAACGGACCCGACGGUGAGGGACGAAAGCUUGGGUCUCGAACCGGAUUAGAUACCCGGGUAGUCCAAGCUGUAAACGAUGCUCGCUAGGUGCGGCGCAGGCUACGAGCUUGCGCUGUGCCGUAGGGAAGCCGAGAAGCGAGCCGCCUGGGAAGUACGUCCGCAAGGAUGAAACUUAAAGGAAUUGGCGGGGGAGCAC